rnacentral:lncRNA from 1 species
AUGGGUCCUACUGGGCUGGGGCUCCAUUCCCCAUCCCCAUGGGUCCUGCUGGGCUGGAGAAGCAGCUGCUGUGAUCCCCACUCCGAGGAAGAUGAGCUACAGAAGCAUGGAAGGGGCUUUUUUUAUAGCCAGGGGGCCAGCAGGGGAAGCAGUGGUCACAAGCAGAGGAUGAAAGUGAAGAAGGAAAUCUUCCACGUGGCUGCAUCUCAAAAAGCAGGUAUUUCUCAUAGAAAUGGGCCCAGUUUGUCCUAGCUCUGGUCUGGGUCUGCACCCGGUUCCUGAUGGGAUCUAGAGGGGCUUUUAGGGUCAUAAUACUUCCCUCCCCUUGGUCAUCUCCAUGAGAUGUAAAGCCAUCCCAAGACAACACUGCUGACCCACACAGGGAGGAAGCUGUUCGGAGCACCACAAGAGCUUCUUGGCUGACCCACCAAAGCAAAGAGACACAGUAGUGCAGCUGCCCAACGUGUUCACCUGGCCCACACCUACAGAGAGACCCCUGGAAGUCUGUUUGAAUUGAACAAAAACAAAGCAAGGAUUUCCGUGCAGGUUCGGCCUGUAGAUUCAAACGUUAUUGAACUGUACUGGCACAUUAUCAAUGGCGCUUUCCAAAUUGAUAUUGACAGCAAAAAUCACACUGUUGACAUCCGUAGUUUGUGAAAAAUUGAAUGAUCGAGCAUCAGCCGUUGUGCCUGAGAAUUUCUGUCUUUUUUUUCAAGUGCCACAGUGGCUGCUUCCUACCUGAACGUGCUGCUCUGCUCCAAGGGACUGCCUAAGUAGGAUGCAGACAGGGCUGCCACCUGAAAUGUCUGCCUGCUCCCCAUGCCCACUUCUGCCCUCGGGUGUUGGUUGAGCUUUGCCUUGCAGCACCAUCACAGCCUCGGCUGCCCCACUUCCUCCUGCUGGGGGGGACUGCAGGAAGAGGUUGGUUCGAGAAACAGCAGGCUUAGCUGAUGCAGAUACACUUCAGCAGCAGACUGCAGUGGUGCCGGCUGAGGAAGGCUGUGAAAGGUAGAGAGGCAGUUGUUUCACUUUUGUCUUCCUGCCAGUUGUCCCGUUGCCCAGAGUGUGUGAUUUGUGAGUUUCCUUUGGCACGGCUGCUCCAUUGCUUAUAUAUCUCUGAGCAGUGUUUCCAGGUCAGAUGGUCCGCGGGGUGGUGGCCAUCUUUUAUUUCAAGGGG